AACAGAAACAACAGCAGACAACUAAAAGAAAUCAAAAGCUUCAAAAACGAAAAGCAAAAAGAAAGAAACUUCCCUGAACUGGAAUCAUGUAGGUGGAUGAGGAGGCUGAAGCUUCCGGCGAUGAGGAAUGGGCCACCGGAAAGGGUAGAGGCGCCGGCAGAGGACUCGUACUCGGUGUACGCAGAGGUGGGCGGGCGUUCGAAACUGCAGCAGCGGCGGAAUGGAUGGGGUGGUGUUGGGGGAAACCAAAUUGAGGAAAUUUUGACUUUAGUCAAAAAAACCUAGUUCCAGAAUUUGCACCUUGGCCCCCAACUUUUCAGAAACUGGAGGGCAACCCCCAAACCUGCGAAAUUGACCAAAACACACCCCAAGCUUUUUUUUUUUUUU
rnacentral:lncRNA from 1 species